AUUGAACGCUGGCGGCAGGCCUAACACAUGCAAGUCGAGCGGAUGAAGGGAGCUUGCUCCUGGAUUCAGCGGCGGACGGGUGAGUAAUGCCUAGGAAUCUGCCUGGUAGUGGGGGAUAACGUCCGGAAACGGGCGCUAAUACCGCAUACGUCCUGAGGGAGAAAGUGGGGGAUCUUCGGACCUCACGCUAUCAGAUGAGCCUAGGUCGGAUUAGCUAGUUGGUGGGGUAAAGGCCUACCAAGGCGACGAUCCGUAACUGGUCUGAGAGGAUGAUCAGUCACACUGGAAAUGAGACACGGUCCAGAAUCCUACGGGAGGCAGCAGUGGGGAAUAUUGGACAAUGGGCGAAAGCCUGAUCCAGCCAUGCCGCGUGUGUGAAGAAGGUCUUCGGAUUGUAAAGCACUUUAAGUUGGGAGGAAGGGCAGUAAGUUAAUACCUUGCUGUUUUGACGUUACCAACAGAAUAAGCACAGGCUAACUUCGUG
rnacentral:rRNA from 1 species